rnacentral:rRNA from 1 species
UACGAAGGGGGCUAGCGUUGUUCGGAUUUACUGGGCGUAAAGCGCACGUAGGCGGAUUCUUAAGUCAGGGGUGAAAUCCCGAGGCUCAACCUCGGAACUGCCUUUGAUACUGGGGAUCUCGAGUUCGGGAGAGGUGAGUGGAAUUGCGAAUGUAGAGGUGAAAUUCGUAGAUAUUCGGAGGAACACCAGUGGCGAAGGCGGCUCACUGGUCCGGUACUGACGCUGAGGUGCGAAAGCGUGGGGAGCAAACAGG